UACGGAGGGUGCAAGCGUUAUCCGGAUUCACUGGGUUUAAAGGGUGCGUAGGUGGGUUGGUAAGUCAGUGGUGAAAUCUCCGUGCUUAACAUGGAAACUGCCAUUGGUACUACUGGUCUUGAAUUUUCUGGAGGUAAGCGGAAUAUGUCAUGUAGCGGUGAAAUGCUUAGAUAUGACAUAGAACACCAAUUGCGAAGGCAGCUUACUACAGGGACAUUGACACUGAGGCACGAAAGCGUGGGGAUCAAACAGG
rnacentral:rRNA from 1 species